rnacentral:rRNA from 1 species
CGCCAGACUCCUACGGGAGGCAGCAGUGGGGAAUAUUGCACAAUGGGGGGAACCCUGAUGCAGCAACGCCGCGUGGGUGAAGAAGUACUCCGGUAUGUAAAGCCCUGUCAGCAGGGAAGAAAAUGACGGUACCUGACCAAGAAGCCCCGGCUAACUACGUGCCAGCAGCCGCGGUAAUACGUAGGGGGCGAGCGUUAUCCGGAUUCACUGGGUGUAAAGGGAGCGUAGACGGCCAUGCAAGCCAGGGGUGAAAGCCCGGGGCCCAACCCCGGGACUGCUCUGGAAACUGUAAAGCUGGAGUGCGGGAGGGGCAGGCGGAAUUCCUGGUGGAGCGGUGAAAUGCGUAGAUAUCAGGAGGAACACCGGCGGCGAAGGCGGCCUGCUGGACCGUAACUGACGUUGAGGCUCGAAAGCGUGGGGAGCAAACAGGAUUAGAUACCCCCGUAC